UACGUAGGGGGCAAGCGUUGUUCGGAAUUACUGGGCGUAAAGCGCGCGUAGGCGGUUUGGAAAGUCAGAUGUGAAAGCCCCCGGCUCAACUGGGGAGGGUCACUCGAUACUGAUCGACUUGAAGGCAGGAGAGGGAAGCGGAAUUCCCGGUGUAGUGGUGAAAUGCGUAGAUAUCGGGAGGAACACCAGUGGCGAAGGCGGCUUCCUGGCCUGCUCUUGACGCUGAGGCGCGAAAGCUAGGGGAGCAAACGGG
rnacentral:rRNA from 1 species